AUUAGAUCCAUCCCACUUGAACCAUACUCUCUCUCAUCACACAUUCUCUCUCCUCCUCUCUCUCUCUCCGAUCGCACAAAUCCAGAUUCUUCUCUAUCUCUUACAAAUCAUCACGCUUCCUGUUCAUCUUCUUACAAAUCAUCAACGAAUAAACUUCCACUCAUUCACUGAUCAACACACAAAUCAAGCAAAAGUUCUUCAGUUGGUACUAAGGAACACUCAACACCUGCGGUCAAAGGUACGUCAACAUCCUACUGGAAGGGAAAAGCUCUGGAAUACUUGAAGAUUGGACUUGAUUCUAUAAAGUCAGCGACCGAGAAUUUUGCUGAAAAAUAUUUCAUUGGGUCAGGCGGGUAUGGUUAGGUGUAUAAAGCAGAACUUGAACAUUUGAUUCCGGUGCAAUGAAAGGAAAUUGCGAAUCAGAACCACCGAGGAGAUGCAACACUGUAGCUAUAAAAUAUAUCUUAAAUAGAGAAGACACACAAGGAGAACAAGGAUUCUUUACGGAAAUUGAAGCGCUAAGUAGUUGUAUGCAUCUUAAUAUCGUAUCUCUUUUUGGCUUCUGCUAUGAGCGUCCUCAUAUGAUCCUUGUUUAUGAGCAUGUUUCAAGGGGAAGCCUUGAUGAUUAUUUGGGUAGCGAAGGAAAGAUGACUAAUCUUACUUGGGUGCAACGAAAAAAAAUAUGCAUUGGUAUUGCAUGUGGAUUAGAUUACCUUCAUACAACUGUGUACAACAAAUAAAAGAUAAUCCACCGUGACAUAAAGAGUGCCAAUUUCUACUGGGCGAGAACUGGGAGGCAAAGAUUGCUGACUUUGGACUCUCCAUAUUCCACCCACUUGAUCACAAAGCGAGCACUAUCAACGCAGCCAAAGUUACAGGCACACAAGUGUACCUGGACCCAGACACAAGUUGAAAAAAGAAUCUGACGUUUACUCUUUUGGGGUGGUGUUAUUUGAGAUCCUGUGUGGAAGAUUGGCUUAUGAUCCGGUAUACACCAACGAAUCUGAAAAAGGUUUUGCACCCAUUGUGAGACAACUUUGAGAAAGGAACAAUAAAGGAAAUUAUAGAUCCCAAUUUAAAAGAAGAAAAUACCUUUACACUAAGUAAAGGACCCAAUCAAGAUUCUUUAAAUACGUUUGUAACAAUCGGGAAUAGAUGUUUGGUAGAAAAGCAAGCCGAGCGUCCAACAAUGAAAGUCGUCAUUGAGGAACUUAUGAAAGCAUCAAACUUUCAAGAAACUCACAAGGACAGCCUCCGAAUGUCACUUGAAGACAUAAAAUUUGCCACACAAAACUUCGAUGAUGAAAAUUUAAUUGGACAUGGAAGACUUGGGAAGGUUUAUAGUGGAGAAAUUCUACGUCCUAAUGGACCUACUCCUAUUGCUGUAAAGCGGCAUGAUGCGGAGUUUGUUCCGGGAGAAAGAGAAUUUGUGACAGAGCUGGAAAUUCUUUUUGAGUACAAGCACACUAAUAUUAUCGGUCUUGUAGGCUACUGUAACCAAAACGAAGAAAGAAUCUCUGUUUAUGAGUAUGCCAUAAACGGAACUCUGGAUAGGCAUUUGAUAAAACCCAGUCUUACAUGGAUGGAACGACUUAAGAUCGGCAUUGAUGUUGCAAUGGGGUUGGAUUUUCUUUACGGAAGUGGUACAACACAAGCUUUUGUAAUACAUGGGGAUAUAAAAUCAUCUAACAUUCUAUUAAAUGACGCCUCGCUUGCGGUAUGCGCAUAUAAUGUAUAUAUGUGUGGGCCAUCUGGGGGCAAAAGUGAAAGUGCACUAAUUUUAACGUUAUUUUACUAAUUUCGUGAAAAUAAUGUUAAAAGCUGAGGACGGUUAAUCAUGCACCAUGUGGUGGCGUUGAUAGCUGAAAGACAAAAGGGUACAUGUACUAAUCGGUCUUUGUCCCGAUUGAUGAGUGUUAUGUGCCUUAUGUCCAAGGCUUGAUGCAAAACUACUAUCGAGCUGGGGGUCUCACUGGAAGCAGCAUCUUUAUUCCUACGGGGUAGAGGAGGAUUUCGAAAUAUGGGAGGCCAAACUGCAAAGUGACUACAAAGAAAUAAUGCGGAUGUUGAAACUGACUGACGUCUACUCAAACACAAGUCAAAAGGGAAAUUGGCCUGUAAUAAUCCCACCUAGACCUUAUUGGCCAUUAAUAAUCCCACAUCAGAAUAUUCCCCCCACUAGUCCCACCUUUCAGCUAUUUUUCCUACAAUGGUCCCCCGUUAAAAAAAGUUAACGGAGUUAAGCUUUUUUCCAAAUUACAAACAGAUUUUUUAAGGCUUUUGAUCAGAACGAUGAUACGAAUCCAUUAAUGUAAAACUUAAUUCGAAAUGGUGCUCUAAGUGACUUGAUUUUGGUUAACUAGAAAUUUAAACACCCGAAUUGAAGAGCCAUUUUCAUCGUUUAGAGCACUGUUUCGAGGCAAAUUUUACAUCAAUGGACUCGUAUCGUCGUUCUAAUCAAAAGCCCUAAAAAAUCUGUUCGUAAUUUGGAAAAAAGCUUAACUCCGUUAACUUUUUUUAACGGUGGACCAUUGUAGGAAAAAUAGCUGAAAGGUGGGACUGGUGGGGGGAAUAUUCUGAGGUGGGAUUAUUAAUGGCCAAUAAGGUCUAGAUGGGAUUAUUACAGGCCAAUUUCCCCAAGUCAAAAAGAUCUCUACCACAUGUUCUCCAAAGGAAUCCUACUUCAAAACGGAAAAAUGUGCUUGUCACAAGGCAGCAAUGGAGAAAUAAAUGAAACAGUAUCAGCAACAAAGUUUUCGUAUGGAAACCACAGUUGUCAUAAGUGGAGAUCUUUAAAAAAAUCAAGAUUUCAAAGAGUGAUGAAAAUAAUCAAGACUAAAACUCAAUUCUAACUCCAAAUGUGAUUUAUGGUGCUCACCUUAUCUUUAAAUUUUGUGAGCCAAGAAAAUUGUCAAGUAAACUAAUGUAUGUCAACCUCAAGUGCCAAAUGGGGAGUGAAACCCUGCAUGCAUAUUUUGCAACAUGCGGUGAUGAGUGGAUGAUGAUAGAAUUGCGCCGAUUCAUACCUCACAAGAAAGAUGUUGAUUUGGAGGUUCUACCUGAGAGCUUAUCCCGAUAUUAUUGUGGAAGUGGUGCAAUCUAUGUCAAGGCAUCCAUUUUCAAGCCAUCGGAUUCUGUGCAACAAGUGUCAGUUGAUUAUGAUGAAAUAACACAACUAGAAGAUGAUUAAAAGUUUUUCCCCCUAAGCAAAACCAAUGAAAAGACAUGUCACAUGCUUCCAGCAAAGAUGGUUUUAUACGAGUCUUCUAAUGUGAAGUGUUACAAUUGGAAAUCUCUUGCUGAGCCUGAAUCUAUGUUAACGUACAACUGUUAAUAAAUGUAGAUUUGUAGAAGUGGCUGAGCUUUUAUCACGCCAAGUAUUUCGGAUCAAAUGCAAGAUUGAAACCCAAAACUUGUCGACAGAUACAAAUUAUGCAUGUCAUCUUGUAUUCAAGCUAUCACAAAAAUGUCAUGGUUUGCAGGGUCCGGUGAGGUCUACUCUUUAAGAAAAACAAAGAGUUUAAUUUUUUUUUUCAUUAUUUUAGAUCUCCAAGUUUAGUAAACUUACACGGUAAUGAAAGGGUACCAAAGCUCAGAGAAGAGGGAUUAAUGAAAGUUAUUGUGUGGGAAUUCAACUCAGGUAACGAGUUCAUUGAUAUGCUCAUGUUCCUAUGAAUUUGAAAUUCAUAUGUUAUGAAGGAACCAUGUAUGGUCUUAUUGUAUAUGGCAUUGAAUUUCGACCCAUAUGAGGUUAUAGAAAGAAAAGAACUUUGAUCAUGUAAUGUCCCUAAUAUUUAUUUGUUACCUUGUACAUAACACUUUCAUGAAAGGUAACUUCCCGACUC